GACGAACGCUGGCGGCGUGCCUAAUACAUGCAAGUCGAGCGGAUGAGAAAGGAGCUUGCUCCUUUCGAUUCAGCGGCGGACGGGUGAGUAACACGUGGGCAACCUGCCUGUAAGACUGGGAUAACUCCGGGAAACCGGGGCUAAUACCGGAUAACUCAUGAGACUGCAUAGUCUGAUGAUAAAAGAUGGUUUUGCUAUCACUUACAGAUGGGCCCGCGGCGCAUUAGCUAGUUGGUGAGGUAACGGCUCACCAAGGCGACGAUGCGUAGCCGACCUGAGAGGGUGAUCGGCCACACUGGGACUGAGACACGGCCCAGACUCCUACGGGAGGCAGCAGUAGGGAAUCUUCCGCAAUGGGACGAAAGUCUGACGGAGCAACGCCGCGUGAGCGAUGAANGCCUUCGGGUCGUAAAGCUCUGUUGUUAGGGAAGAACAAGUAUGAGUUAACUGCUCAUACCGUGACGGUACCUAACGAGAAACCACGCUAACUACGUGCCAGCAGCGCGGUAUACGUAAGUGGCAAGCGUUGUCCGGAUUUAUUGGGCGUAAAGCGCGCGCAGGCGG
rnacentral:rRNA from 1 species